rnacentral:rRNA from 1 species
UGGGGGAUAUUGCACAAUGGGCGAAAGCCUGAUGCAGCGACGCCGCGUGGGGGAUGAAGGCCUUCGGGUUGUAAACUUCUUUUGCUCUGAACAAGGCAUGCUAAUGGGUGUGUUGAGUGUAGGGGUUGAUUAGCGCCGGCUAACUACGUGCCAGCAGCCGCGGUAAUACGUAGGGCGCGAGCGUUGUCCGGAAUUAUUGGGCGGAAAGGGCUUGUAGGUGGCUGGUUGCGUCUGUUGUGAAAGCUCAUGGCUUAAAUGUGGGUUGGCGGUGGGUACGGGCUGGCUUGAGUGCAGUAGGGGAGGCUGGAAUUCCUGGUGUAGCGGUGGAAUGCGCAGAUGUCAGGAGGAAUACCGGUGGCGAAGACGGGUCUCUGGGCUGUUACUGACACUGAGGAGCGAAGGCAUGGGGAGCGACCAGG